GCAUCUGUGCAUGCAGCAUAUCAAUAAGCGGAGGAAAAGAAACUAACAAGGAUUCCCCUAGUAGCGGCGAGUGAAGCGGGAAGAGCUCAAAUUUGAAAUCUUAAAGGGUUUCCCUUUACGAAUUGUAGUUUAAAGAAGUGUUUUCUGUUGAGGUUUUGGUAAAAGUUCUUUGGAAUAGGACAUCAUAGAGGGUGAGAAUCCCGUAUUUGACCUUUACUUUCAACUUUGUGAUACACUUUCAAAGAGUCGGAUUGUUUGGGAAUGCAGUCCAAAAUGGGUGGUAAAUCUCAUCUAAAGCUAAAUAUUGGCGAGAGACCGAUAGCGAACAAGUACCGUGAGGGAAAGAUGAAAAGAACUUUGAAAAGAGAGUUAAACAGUACGUGAAAUUGUCAAAAGGGAAGCGUUUGACACCAGUGUUGUUUUUCUGAAAAUCAAUUAAAGAACUGUUUAUGCUAAGUUGUUUAGACUUUAUCAGCUAACUGUUUAGUUUUGAGCUUUUCUUUAAUGCACUUUUCAGUUAACAAGUCAGCAUCAAUUUCUUUUGCUGUAAAAAAGCUUGAGGAAGGUGGCUUGAGAUUCGUCUUAAGUGUUUAUAGCCUCUUGCCUAUGCAGUCGGAGAGAUUGAGGUCUGCAGCGUAGAUCCUUCGGGGCUAAAUGCAUUUGUGCUAAGUUAUAACAUUUUAUAGACAACUUGUUGACUAUGACUUGUCUUGUAGCUUACUCGCUUAUGUUAUUUUACCUACGCUUAGGAUGUUGACAGCAGUAUAGACUGU
rnacentral:rRNA from 1 species